UUUAUACAAUGGAGAGUUUGAUCCUGGCUCAGGAUGAACGCUAGCGGCAGGCCUAACACAUGCAAGUCGAGGGGC
rnacentral:rRNA from 2 species